rnacentral:rRNA from 1 species
GAUGAACGCUGGCGGCGUGCCUAAUACAUGCAAGUCGAGCGAACGGACGCGAAGCUUGCUUUUCUGAUGUUAGCGGCGGACGGGAGAGUAACACGUGUAUAACCUACCUAUAAGACUGGUAUAACUUCGGGAAACCGGAGCUAAUACCAUAGAAUAUUUUGAACCGCAUGGUUCAAAAGUGAAAUACGGUCUUGCUGUCACUUAUAGCUGGAUCCGCGCUGCAUUAGCUAGUUGGUAAGUUAACGGCUUACCAAGGCAACGAUGCAUAGCCGACCUGAGAGGGUGAUAGGCCACCCGAGAACUGAGACACGGUCAAGACUCCUACGGGAGGCAGCAGUAGGGAAUCGUCCGCAAUGGGCGAGAGCAUGACGGAGCGACGCCGCGUGAGUGAUGGAGGCCUUCGGAGCGUAAAACUCUGUUAUUAGGGAAGAACAUAUGUGUAAGUAACUGUGCACAUCGUGACGGUACCUAAUAAGAAAGCCACGGCUAACUACGUG